rnacentral:rRNA from 1 species
GACGAACGCUGGCGGCGUGCUUAACACAUGCAAGUCGAACGAUGAAGCCGGAGCUUGCUCUGGUGAAUUAGUGGCGAACGGGUGAGUAACACGUGGGUAACCUGCCCUUGACUCUGGGAUAACUGCUAGAAAUGGUAGCUAAUACCGGAUACGACCCUCGGAGGCAUCUCCAGGGGGUGGAAAGAAUUUCGGUCAAGGAUGGGCUCGCGGCCUAUCAGCUAGUUGGUGAGGUAACGGCUCACCAAGGCGACGACGGGUAGCCGGCCUGAGAGGGUGACCGGCCACACUGGGACUGAGACACGGCCCAGACUCCUACGGGAGGCAGCAGUGGGGAAUAUUGCACAAUGGGCGCAAGCCUGAUGCAGCAACGCCGCGUGAGGGAUGACGGCCUUCGGGUUGUAAACCUCUUUUGGUAGGGAAGAAGCGAAAGUGACGGUACCUGCAGAAAAAGCACCGGCUAACUACGUGCCAGCAGCCGCGGUAA